AUUGAACGCUGGCGGCAGGCCUAACACAUGCAAGUCGAGCGGAUGAAGGGAGCUUGCUCCUGGAUUCAGCGGCGGACGGGUGAGUAAUGCCUAGGAAUCUGCCUGGUAGUGGGGGAUAACGUCCGGAAACGGGCGCUAAUACCGCAUACGUCCUGAGGGAGAAAGUGGGGGAUCUUCGGACCUCAUGCUAUCAGAUGAGCCUAGGUCGGAUUAGCUAGUUGGUGGGGUAAGGGCCUACCAAGGCGACGAUCCGUAACUGGUCUGAGAGGAUGAUCAGUCACACUGGAACUGAGACACGGUCCAGACUCCUACGGGAGGCAGCAGUGGGGAAUAGUGGACAAUGGGCGAAAGCCUGAUCCAGCCAUGCCGCGUGUGUGAAGAAGGUCUUCGGAUUGUAAAGCACUUUAAGUUGGGAGGAAGGGCAGUAAGUUAAUACCUUGCUGUUUUGACGUUACCAACAGAAUAAGCACCGGCUAACUUCGUG
rnacentral:rRNA from 1 species